CCUACGUGUGGCUGCAGUGGGGAAUAUUGCACAAUGGGGGAAACCCUGAUGCAGCGACGCCGCGUGAGUGAAGAAGUAAUUCGUUACGUAAAGCUCUAUCAGCAGGGAAGAAAUACUGACCAUACGGUCAGCAGACGGUACCUGAGUAAGAAGCACCGGCGAACUACGUGCCAGCAGCCGCGGUAAUACGGCGGGGGCAAGCGUUAUCCGGAUUUAUUGGGUGUAAAGGGAGCGUAGACGGUGCGCCAAGACUGGAGUGAAAUGCCGCGGCUUAACUGCGGAACUGCUUUGGAAACUGGCGAACUAGAGUGCGGGAGGGGUAAGCGGAAUUCCUAGUGUAGCGGUGAAAUGCGUAGAUAUUAGGAGGAACACCGGUGGCGAAGGCGGCUUACUGGACCGUAACUGACGUUGAGGCUCGAAAGCGUGGGGAGCGAACAGGAUUAGAUACCCCGGUAGUC
rnacentral:rRNA from 1 species